rnacentral:rRNA from 1 species
UACGGGGGGGGCAAGCGUUGUCCGGAAUUAUUGGGCGUAAAGGGCGCGUAGGCGGCCUGGCAAGUGGAUGGUGAAAUCCCUCGGCUUAACCGAGGAACUGCCAUCCAGACUGCUUGGCUUGAGACCGGGAGAGGUGAGUGGAAUUCCCAGUGUAGCGGUGAAAUGCGUAGAUAUUGGGAGGAACACCAGUGGCGAAGGCGGCUCACUGGACCGGUACUGACGCUGAUGCGCGAAAGCGUGGGGAGCAAACGGG